rnacentral:rRNA from 1 species
UACGUAGGGGGCAAGCGUUGUCCGGAAUUACUGGGCUUAAAGAGUUCGUAGGCGGCGCAGAAAGUAGGGUGUGAAAGCCCUCGGCUUAACCGAGGAAUUGCGCUCUAAACUACUGUGCUUGAGGAACCUAGAGGUGAGCAGAACUGAUGGUGGAGCGGUGAAAUGCGUUGAUAUCAUCAGGAAUACCGGAGGCGAAGGCGGCUCACUGGGGGUUUUGCUGACGCUGAGGAACGAAAGCCAGGGGAGCGAACGGG